rnacentral:rRNA from 1 species
UACCAGCACCCCGAGUGGUCGGGACGAUUAUUGGGCCUAAAGCAUCCGUAGCCGGUUCUACAAGUCCUCCGUUAAAUCCACCCGCUUAACGGAUGGGCUGCGGGGGAUACUGCAGAGCUAGGAGGCGGGAGAGGCAAACGGUACUCAGUGGGUAGGGGUAAAAUCCAUUGAUCUACUGAAGACCACCAGUGGCGAAGGCGGUUUGCCAGAACGCGCUCGACGGUGAGGGAUGAAAGCUGGGGGAGCAAACCGG